rnacentral:rRNA from 1 species
CUAUGGAUUCGAGCCAUCGCACAUGGUUUUUAUAUUCUCUUAUUUAAUAAUAAUAAUGGAAUACUUGGAAUUAGUAGAAUUCUCAAACUACGGAACCAACUGCUUUCGCACCGGGGGGAGAUCCGGAGCAAGGACCCUAAGAAUCUGGAAGAUAUCUCGAGAAAAGGUUUUAGCACCGGUCUCUCAUAUAUGUACUCAAGUUUAUCCGAACCAAUGGUGUAAGACCGUCGACUAUUUGGGAAAAAGGGGGAAAAUCACUCUGAUCUCUGAUUUUGGAGAAAUAAGUGGCUCACGAGGAAUGGAGAGACAGAUUCUCUAUUUGAUCUCGAAGUCCUCAUAUAA